UCAGGCCUAACACAUGCAAGUUGAACGGCAGCACGGGUGUUUGCUCCUGGUGGCAAUUGGCGAACGGUUAAUUAAUACUUCGGAAGGUACCUUAUGGUGGGGGAUAAGGCAGGGAAAGUUGCGUUAAUCCGGCAUACAUCUUGAGGGGGAAAGCGGGGAUCGCUAAGCCCUCGCGCGAUUAGAGCGGCGAAUGUAUAAUUAGUUUGUUGGUGAGGUAAAAGUUCACCAAGGCGAUAAUCAGUAGUUGUUUUGAGAGG
rnacentral:rRNA from 1 species